UUUGUUUCAUUUUCUGAUUAAUAAACUCUCUCCCUUCUAGAGAGUUCUCUCAGACGCUCCUCCUUCUCUCUAAAUUCUCUCACUACAUUUUCCAUGAUUCUUCAGUUUAAUCUCAAAGUUUUCAUGGCAUCAGAGCCUACAUGACGAUCCGACUAUGUUUUUCUGCAUCUCGUUAUCUUGGUUGAAGUCUCCUUUGAGAUUUUUGGGGGUGUUUCUGAGACUUUGUGGUCGAUGACGAUUCCGAUCUAAAUCGGAUGCCUUUCUGAGUUUUUCAUCGUGAUAUCUGAGUGUAUUUUCUUCAC
rnacentral:lncRNA from 1 species